UUUAUGUACAUCACUUUAAGAGUCGGGCGUUAAUGACGUCAUUAGAGAGCAGACAAGUCAGGACAAUGCAACGCAUGGUUUUUGCAGUAACACGGCUACUCCUAUACAGUUGGUCCUAGAAAGCACUGUCGACUAAAACUGCGCGUCAACCAGUGAGGAUGCUGAAGGAAGAAACAUAAAACGGCUCAGGAGUGAAGAGGCGCAGCUUAUCUUCCCCAAAUAGUCGCACUGGCAAGCAGAUGAAGCACCUGUGUGAAAAAUCACGUCCUCCAAUACGUCACGGCUCAAAAUGUCCAGGGUGGGCACAGGGAGUGAGGACGAAAAGCUGAGGCAGUCAGGUGGAAACAGCAGUGGUUUAUUCUUCACACAGCAUCAGCAACACUUCACAGGUGAAACUGCAGCCUUAAAUAGUCCCAGCUGUGACCGACCAAACCACCUUUAAUUGACAGGGUUGUCUCAAUUCAUCAA